rnacentral:tRNA from 1 species
GAGGGUGUGGCUCAGUUGGUAGAAUGCUUGCCUAGCGAGCAUGAAGCCCUGGGUUCAAUCUCCAGCACUCUGA